rnacentral:rRNA from 1 species
GAUGAACGCUGGCGGCGUGCCUAAUACAUGCAAGUCGAGCGAACAGAUGAGGAGCUUGCUCCUCUGACGUUAGCGGCGGACGGGUGAGUAACACGUGGAUAACCUACCUAUAAGACUGGGAUAACUUCGGGAAACCGGAGCUAAUACCGGAUAAUAUAUUGAACCGCAUGGUUCAAUAGUGAAAGACGGUUUUGCUGUCCCUUAUAGAUGGAUCCGCGCCGCAUUAGCUAGUUGGUAAGGUAACGGCUUACCAAGGCGACGAUGCGUAGCUGACCUGAGAGGGUGAUCGGCCACACUGGAACUGAGACACGGUCCAGACUCCUACGGGAGGCAGCAGUAGGGAAUCUUCCGCAAUGGGCGAAAGCCUGACGGAGCAACGCCGCGUGAGUGAUGAAGGUCUUCGGAUCGUAAAACUCUGUUAUUAGGGAAGAACAAAUGUGUAAGUAACUAUGCACGUCUUGACGGUACCUAAUCAGAAAGCCACGGCUAACUACGUG